CGCGCAGGCGGGUUGGCAAGUCAGAGGUGAAAUCCUACAGCUUAACUGUAGAACUGCCUUUGAGACUGCUAAUCUUGAGUACGGAAGAGAGAGAUGGAAUUCCAGGUGUAGUGGUGAAAUACGUAGAUAUCUGGAAGAACACCAGUGGCGAAGGCGAUCUCUUGGUCCUUUACUGACGCUAAGGCGCGAAAGCGUGGGGGAGCAAACA
rnacentral:rRNA from 1 species